AAUAAGAAAAUAGUUUCCUUGAAUUUGUUUCCUUGGUUUGGAGUGGCAGUGGGUUGUCCAUUUACAAGAAGUGUAUACGUUCUCUGGCAAAAACAUGAAAGUGCAUGCUCGACGCAGGGGCAGGGAGCAAUUGGAACGAAAAGUGGGAAAUUUAAUUCUACAGUCACCAUUACUCCACUGUAUUUGCCAGGGCUGGAGGAGGAAGCAAACGGCAACAGAGUAUGCUCAGUGUCCUGGAUUGACUGUAUUUGAUUGAACCAAUUUUGAUAGAAUAAUUAACUGAUGGUACUCAGAAUCAGAGGCCAGCCACUGAUCAGCUCAUAAACCCUACUUGCUAUAUGGAUUGAAGCACGGGACGUAUGGUUAUCUCUCAGUCCUGGGCUUGUUUGAUGGUUUCUCAGGUGCUGGGAGCUGCCUGCUUUGUUACCAGUCAUAAGGUGACUGACCAUCCUGGUUUGUCAGAGUGGAGGGGUUUCCCAGGAUUCAGGCUUUCAGUUCUAAAACUGGGAUAGUACCCAGCAAUCGAGGAUGGGCUGCUCACUCUGUACCAGAUAAAAAGCUCGGGGAGCCAACCCAAAGCCUGGAUGACAUCUCCUCUCUUGGUUAAGUGGUCACACAGUCUGUUGUCAGGGCAGAAUGGUUGCUGUGUUCCCCUGGAGAGCUGCUGAACUCAGACUUCUUUUUGUGAAAUGAUUUGAGAGGCCUGGAAUGUGCAAUGCUCUGUAGAAAAGCAAAUGCCAUUCUUUUCUAAUUCAGAGCUGUGACCCAAGAAAGCACAGAGAUGAACAGUGGUUCCCUUGAAACUAAAGAGGAAUUGCCUAAGAGCUGACGCCCUGUGGUGGUAACCAAUGGUGCAGAGGCCCAGGUCAGCAGGGAGUAAUUGGGGAAGGGGGGGGCAACUGGGUGUUACAUAAGCUGUUACACAAGGACGUCCAUUCUCAGGAAACACUGGCAUCUGCAUGGUUUUUGUCGUCAAUUGCUAUUAAUUCCAGGUCACUAUAUUCUAAGACAUUUCUGACAGUACUUAAGGUCCAGAAACGCCAGCAUCCUACUCAGAGAUAAAGCAAACAGUCUGAGUGAAGAGCUACAGUCAGUCAAAGGAGAUUUUAUGGGCAUGUUGAUUUUAAGAGACAAGGAAGUGUGGGCUUUUUUCUUACUUCUUUCCUCUUUUAUGGUGGGGGGACGUGGUGUGGAUGAUGGGGUGGGGAGCAUGGGGGUGAAAAUAGCAACUGUAAAACCAGUGUUUGGGUUUACACAGGGUUCUUCUCAAAGCUGGGCCCGUCCCACAGAAUGGGCUUGAAAAUGACAUUGGAUUCUGGUUUUCUGAGUUCACUUACUUCAUAGUGUAGGAACCAGGAAACUGCUUAUGUGAAGUGACUGGAUGAAAGAAAACAGUAAUAAGAGCGAGCACGUGGAGUGCUUACUGUGUGCCAGGCACUGUUGCAAAGUGUUUUAGGUUGAUUACUUUAUGAAUCCUCAGUUUGAUUGUAUGAGGUAAGAACUAUUAUUAUCCUUAUUUAACAAAUGAUGAAGCUGAGGCACAGUCUGAGUAUGCAGUUUGUAAAGAUCGCAUGCCUGGAAGGGGAUCGAGCCCGGAUUCAAACACAGGCAGUGGAAUGUUCUGAACUACCAAUUUGCCUCCAUUCCACUUUCCCUUCAUUUGAAAACUACCUUGUCCUUGAGACGGUACAGAAAGGAAUAUAUGUCCCUUUAAAUACGACAUUGGCUCUGCACGUAUUUUAGUGAGAUGUUCCCCUGUUCCUCUUGUAACAUGCUCUCAUCAAGUCAUCCCCCCUCACAGUCUGUAGAAUUAAGCCUUUCUAAAGGUGAAGAGGACCUCACCAGAACCUCCCUCAUGAGGCAUUAGAAUGCUAGAAUUCCAGGAACAUGCAGAAUUUUCUAAUAUUCAAUCAAAAACAUUUCAAGAAUAAUGCUGGCUCAGAAGACAGCAAGAUGAGUAAGAUAAGGACGCCGAUCUCAAAGGCUUGCAGCCCACAGAGGGUUAUAGACUGUUAAAGAAUCACAAAGCAACGUGAUAGUUGCUAGAAUAGAGGUAAGUGCAAUAAGAUGGGAGAGGGGUUGAAAAAUUUACAAGAAUACCUGUACAUACUGAUACACAUUCACAUGAGCUCAUCUUCAUAAAAGUAAUUGGGUUGUCAGAAAAUCUAUCAUAUAGACUGAUGGUUGGGGUAGAAGAUUGGAGGGGAAGAAGUUGGGCAGAAGAUUUGGAGAAUGAAUAGAGGAAAGGUGGGAGAGUAUGGAAAGUGAAAUGGUUAAAGCCAUACCCAAGUCAUUUAUGUCUAUCUAAAGCAGCAGUGGGUUCCAUCAGAAUGCUCUGUUCCCCACUUCCCUGACCCGCUUGUCCUUGAUGAACCCUUCCCCAUCUCCAUGAACUCCUACCCUGAUGCAAGCGUGGCCUAGACCCAUCUCAAGAGAACUCCCUUCUCUUGGAGAGCCAGUUUAUAUCCUUUUUAAGAUGCAGAAGGGUGGAACAAGGUAACACCCCAGGUUGGUGCUUCAAAAUGUCAUUGAGCCUUUAGCCUUACCGGAGCAGCAGUUGUCUCCUAGGAAACCUGAUCUAGCCUUCUACUCUAUCUGAUCUCCUGUGAUCUCAAGGUUUUUUUCUGCCCUCACAUCCUGUUUUUAUGCUGACCAGCUCAUUCCUGGUUUUUCCCAGUCUGACUCUCCAGUUACUUUGAUCUCUCUUUUUCCUUCUGAAGUAGGUUCCAGAACGGUUCAGCCUUCAGCCUCUAGCUUACUAUAGGCUUACCUUAGCAUUUCCUCAUCUUUCUUCCCCAUCUCUGAGGGGUUUCCCCAUUUGAUAUUGAUGCUUUAGCUCCAGAUUGUCCCCAGUUGGGCAUUCUUAACCAUCAGUUCUGUUCCCCCAGGAAGCUCUUGCCAUGCUGCCUCAACACCAGCAUCCAUAACUACGUGCUUAAGGUGGAUAUGGACCUUCAUGUUCAAACUUCCUGGAAGAUACAGCCUCCUGGUUCUUCCAGAUCCUUCUAGUUUGGUCCCAAAUCUCUUAGGAUCUUUCUCUCCCAAGACCAUUCCAAUCAACUCGUGCUUUAAAUCCUUCCAGUUUCUCACUGUCUCUCCAUUAUUCUUGCUCUAAAGAAAAACUUGAGAUCAUUUGCAAAGCCAAUGCCUUCUGUGCCGUUAAACUUCCUUGACCAAUCAUCCUCAAACUACAGUAGAAAUACAGGAUUCCCAACAACUGCUUCCCUGGGUACCUCACCAGCUCCUAGCUUCCCCACCCACUGAUACUGUCCUCUUUUCAAAGGCAAGAAGAAACAGAGAGACACGGAUGCCUGGGAGAACAUCAUGAUGCUUUCAGUCAGUGGGCGAUAACCACAGGUGGAUCACAAAUGGCUUGACAGACAUAAAUUUUUUAUGGUGAUAAACUUGCAAAAUGUUUUCUACAACCAUUCAAAAUUUCAUAGUAGUUAAAAUUGUAUUUGAAAGCAAUGGCUCCCUCUAUAAACUCCCUGUGUUCAAUAACCAUUAUUUUCUGCCUAAGACUUUGGCAAGCAUCACAGCUAGAGAGCUCUGAGAGGCUGCUCCCCUGACGGCCCCAGCGAAUCUUCCUGGGCUGCUAUUGUUACUUUAGUCCAGGUUUGUUUGUCUUCAGUGAUUUUUUUUGGUUUGUGAUACUCUAAAAUAUUUUUUCUUUUGAUUUAAUCCACUCUAAUGUUCAUAUUUUUUACUGACAUCAAUGGAAUGUAUGAUUGCUAUCUAUGUUCAUAAUCAUCAUAAUCAGUAUUACUAACAUAAGCUAAUAUUAGGUAUUUCUAAAGAGCAUAAAACUGACUUUCCUAAUUUUCUGAAUUAUCCAAUUUAUCCCUUCCUUCCUUAAUUCCUUUCUUUGUUCUUUCUUUUUUCUAAUGCCUAUAGAUAUUAACUGCUAGUCUAUCUGAUUCUUGAUGGGUUUUAAUAAUGUACUAUUGUUUGUUUUUAUAAAUUAAAAAAUAUUUCUUUCAAAAAUAACAAUUGGACAUACUUGAAUUAAAUUGAUUCAUUGAAAGGGACUCUACGCCUUUACAGCUUCAGAAAGCCAAAUUUUCAAAAUAUUUUUGAAUGACAUGAAUGAAAAUAAUAUUUAUAUUUUGUCAGUUUUCCACAAUUUUAAUACUGAAUUAAAUAAAAUUUAACAUUUAAAUGCCUACUCUAUGCUUAUUUUUUGCUAUUUUUCCAAGUCUUAAAGUGCAGGUAACAUGCAUUUUCUAAAAAGCCAAUUUAUGAAGCCAUAAAGGCUUAUAAUUUUCUACAGUAUUUUUGUUUAACUAGAUUUCAUUUCUAAAAUUAUUUUAUUUUCCCACAGUAAUGUAUUUGCUGGAACAUCAUCAUAGUCACAAGAUAAAAUAGUCCACAAACAUUUGUCACUAAUUAGGCAAUAUAGUGAGUAUUAUCUCAAAUUUGCAUUUCUCUGCAUUAUUUUUCUUUUCCUCAGCUUAGAUAUCUUGUUUAUGUGGAAGCAUCAAAAUAAGAAAUUGUACCACACUGCAAACCAAGCUGGCUCCUUAACACAAAAUAUCCAUCUCAAAGGGAAAAAACGAUUUAAAUGUUUUAAAGUUUAGACAAGAGCAAUUUUAAAAGCUCCAAAAAACAAGAGUUUUUCUUUUUAUGUUUUUUGGGUUUUUUUCACCCUGGUCUAGAAGAUGACCACAUCAAAACAGUCUGGGAGAUUGGUGAGUCCACAGUCAUUAGUAACUGAACAUAGUUAAUAGCACCAGUUAGAAAGAAACUCUGCUGAGAAAUGCUUGGAACAACACCAUUUGUCCUGCAAAGAAGAACCAAACCAAGUUGUUGGGGUGAAACAUUCAAAGAAGUAGAUGAAUACUUGAAAUAGAUUUUGUAAAUACCACUUGAGUUCACGUCUGAUGGUGAGGCUGUAAUGGCAAGAAGGCUAUGUCAUCAAGUUCAUUCUGAAAAUCUUGAGAUUCAAGCAGUAUUUAUUCACAGAAAAUCUUUGUUAUAUAAACAUUGCCUGUGGGUCUGAAUUCCACAUAAAAGGUUGUCAUAAAAAAGGUGACCCCAAUAACAUCUAAACUUCCAUAUCUGCUUCUCUUUUUAGUUUUAGGUGAAGAAAUGGGUUCCGAAGAACUGUCUGUGCUGUUUCGCACUAAAGCAGACUGACUGUUCAAGGAGAGAUUUAUUGAGAGUUUAUGAGCUAAGAGAUGAAUUGAAAAAACUUGUGAAUUAUACUCACUUUGAAAAACUUCUUGAAAGUCCGAAUGUCUUCCAGUUUACCCCUAUGUGUUGUACAAGCAUCACCACAUUUUGUGUGGGUCAUGACCUGACCAAGUUUGUGAAGUCUUGAAAGUACAGCCCAGUGGUGGCCUUCAACUCACUUCUGACUCUCUCUGGGCUUUUGAGACUGUGAAGAAGAGGCAAUAGGCCACCGUGGACGAGCUGAUAGAUGAGGAACCAUCAGUGUGGACGUUCCUUAUCUCUUCAGGAAUCUGUGUUCAAAAGCAUUUCACUUCACAGCUGUUAUUGAAAGUCUCCGUGCAGGGCCACUGUGCAUAAAUGCUUACAUCCAAGAGGAACUCCACCAAGACAUCAGCUGCAAACUCGCCAUCAAACUCAAUUGUGCGGUCACCC